CUCUCUCUCUUUGCCUUUUGGCUCAGAUCAAGUGCAGUAACUGUUCUUCUUAGUUUAAUCUCUAGGACGUGCCUACGGGUACAUCGGGAUUAAACCAGUUUUUGGAAUCAGAUUGGGGGUCUAUGAGCACCGCUUACACCUCCGAUCACGGUGUCGCCAGUAUUGCACUGUCUCUGGCUGACGCGACCUUUU
rnacentral:snRNA from 1 species